AUUUAUUAAUUUGAAUUAAAAUUUACACUCAAUACGUUAAUAUUGCAUACUGGUUUACAAUGUACUUCAAUAUUGAAGUGCAGAUAAUUGCCACUAUUUGCAAUAAGUAGUCAAAUUUUAGCAUAGUGUAAAUAGAAUCUAUAGUUAUUUGCACUUAGUGUAAAUAGCAUAUCACUAAAAAUGCUGCUAUUUGCACUUAGUGUAAAUAGCCGCUGCCAUUAGUUUAUUAGUACGUAGUUGAGAAUGUUGAGAAUGAAAAUCGUUGCUUCAUGCUACAAGUUUUCUUUCGGCAGGUUUGAGGCAGUUUAUGCAAAGCUGUGAAAAGAGCGUGCAUUUUGAAUGACAAAUAAUAUGCUUCGCUAUAAAUGCAACACGACACAAUGCGAUUUGGUUCAGUGAGAAGGCUGUGAUACGCUUAUGAGAUCACUGACUAAAAUCAGGACAGAAAUCAUGCUGACUAUUCUUCUGAUUAUGGCAAUGAUUGGCCAAGGUCAAUCAUGGGACAGCCUUGGAACCAGCUUCAUAACAAUAUUCCCAGAGAACAUAGCCUUCUACUAUCCGCUUAGUCCAGUGAACGCUCUCAAUAUCACUGCUGUCCUUCCCGACACUGUGGUGGAAGUCUUUAUCUCAGGGCAGUUGCCUUACACAUACACACUACUAGAAGGACAGCCCCUAACUGUGACCUUCUCAGUGGGUAUUGAGGAAUACCAAUUUGGUGAAAUUUCUCAGACUGUCAGAAUCAGCAGCACAAAGAACAUUGUAGUGCAAUCAAUCAGCAAGAAAGGAGACAGUGUGCAAACUAAUGUCAUUCAGCCUCGGAAAAACCUUGGUACCGUUUAUACCAUCCCCUUGCUGAAUUACAGCCAGAUGAUCAAUACUUUUUAUCAAUCAGCAAGAAAUAUCAGCAAGAGAUACAACUCCUUCAGGCUGGUUAUUAUCAACGGAGAAGAUUUGAUUAAUAAUGUCAAAAUUGUAAAAAGGUCUAUAGAAGAGAUUUACACACUCAAUCCGUUCAACGGUCUCCAGCUUCAAACUGACGGGACAGAAACUAAGAUUUAUUCUGAUUAUAGAGUGGCUGUGAUGCUGACCCAUCCUUGUGUAGAGACGGAUGAAUGCAGAUGCAACAUGGUGCUGAACCAACUUUAUCCCGACGUUCAGGAGGAUAGCAGAUUUGUUGUACCCUCAAUACCCAACACCAGCAAAUUUUGGCUACAUGUGACGUCCUCAGUGGAAACCAGUGCCAGUGGUGGGGAUCUAGAAUCGAGUACUGUGGAUGCCUAUUCCUCAAAACUCCUGUCCCUUCCAUCUCUGCAGUUAGGAUCCCAGUUCAUCCACACAUCGAAUCCUGCUUCCUUCAGGCUUGUCAGUCCAGGUAUCAUCAUUGAACCGAUCUCACAAUAUAGGUUCUCUGGGUGCUACCUAGUAACUGUCAGCUCGACAGAUGCCAAGGCCUUAAUCAUUGCAGAAACAUACUACAGGGAUAGUGUGUAUAUAGAUAAUGAUUUGCUUUUAUCCACUGAAUGGAGCACCAUCGCCAAUUCAGUGUACUCAUCGGUGUUAGUGUCUUUUGAUGACACACACGUCAUUUGGCAUCCAUCCACAAAGAUCGGCGUGUAUGUGUUUGAGAAGAGCACAAAUGUGUAUGGAGGCCCGGCUAUAUCUUUGAGCGCAAAGCCAGACCCUUCAGGCUGUGCAGUUGUUCCUCCUGAGUUUGACAUCAUCGUCACGCCUCAAACCUGGCCUGAAUCCCAUCAGUACUGUAAGCUCAUAAGUGACGAGUUAUUCAGUCCCAGCAAUGAAGUGGCCCAAGCGGAGAUGGCCGACAUUCUGAAUAAUGAAGGUAUGAAUGAGAGGCUCUGGAUUGGCGUGCGUCGCAGUCUGAUGACGUUAGAUUGGUAUCGGCAGAAAGGUAAAAGCUCACACAACUUGACAUACACUUGGUGGGGAACCGGAGAGCCAGGUGAUGCUGCGAAGGGCAUGUGUGCUUCGGUAUUCCCAAACCCAAGCAUGGAUUUCCUUUGGGAAACUACAAACUGUUGUACUAAAUUGAAAUCUAUCUGCUACACAAGGGCUCAGUACUUUACCAUCUCAAAAGAGACAGCUAAGCAUUCUAAUGCUUAAAAAAAUGAAGGUUAAUAAUAAAAACUGGCCAGGGAAAACA
ensembl:lncRNA